AGUGAACGUUGGCGGCGUGGAUUAGGCAUGCAAGUCGAGCGAGAACCGUAGCAAUACGGGGACAGCGGCGAAAGGGACAGUAAUGUGUAGGUACCUACCUCCGGGUUCGGGAUAGCUGCGGGAAACUGCAGGUAAUACCGAAUAACGUCUCCGGACCAAAGGUGUGAUUCCACCUGGAGAGGGGCCUGCAUCCUAUUAGCUUGUUGGCGGGGUAACGGCCCACCAAGGCGACGAUGGGUAGCGGGUGUGAGAGCACGACCCGCGUCAUUGGGACUGAGACACUGCCCAGACACCUACGGGUGGCUGCAGUCGAGGAUCUUCGGCACUGGGCGCAAGCCUGACCGAGCGACGCCGCGUGCGGGAUGAAGGCCUUCGGGUUGUAAACCGCUGUCGUAGAGGAGGAAGUGCAGGGGGGUUCUCCCCCCUGUCUGACCUAUUCUAGGAGGAAGGACGGGCUAAGUUCGUGCCAGCAGCCGCCGUAA
rnacentral:rRNA from 1 species